GCUUUAAUAGUAUAACCAUUACCUUGGCCUUGUAAACCAAAAAUGAAGACCN
rnacentral:tRNA from 1 species